rnacentral:lncRNA from 1 species
ACACCCUUACCAAAGGUGCGAAAGGACUUAAAUGAUGCCUAGGUGCUUCAGACUAACAACCCGACUACACCUUACACGACCAACCAUACCUAAAACACCUUAUGCAACCUAUGGGAACCUUCAACGUCUACGAUUAAGAAAAAGAUACGACUUUGACCACCCACAGUCUGGUAUAGAAUCAAUUAACAAUAUCAGAUUAGGAGGUGUCAUGUAUCUUUAAGAUACGACUUUGAUCU